CCUACGGGAGGCAGCAGUGGGGGAUAUUGCACAAUGGGGGAAACCCUGAUGCAGCGACGCCGCGUGAGUGAAGAAGUAUUUCGGUAUGGAAAGCUCUAUCAGCAGGGAAGAAAAUGACAGUACCUGUGUAAGAAGCCCCGGCUAACUACGUGCCAGCAGCCGCGGUAAUACGUAGGGGGCAAGCGUUAUCCGGAUUUACUGGGUGUAAAGGGAGCGUAGACGGCAGCACAAGUCUGGAGUGAAAUGCCGGGGCUUAACCCCGGAACUGCUUUGGAAACUGUGCAGCUAGAGUGCAGGAGAGGUAAGUGGAAUUCCUAGGGUAGCGGUGAAAUGCGUAGAUAUUAGGAGGAACACCAGUGGCGAAGGCGGCUUACUGGACUGUAACUGACGUUGAGGCUCGAAAGCGUGGGGAGCAAACAGGAUUAGAUACCCCUGUAGUC
rnacentral:rRNA from 1 species